rnacentral:rRNA from 1 species
GGCCGUAAGGCCAGACUUGGUCGUCGCGCCUCUGCUGGGGGGCUCGUUGCUUCCGCGGCGAGGUAACCUACGUUACUGUGAAGAAAUUAGAGUGUUUAAAGCAGGCGAUCGCUAGAAUACAUCAGCAUGGAAUAACCAGAUAUGACAUAUGUCUCUGUUGGUUUGGGGACAAAUGUAAUGAUUAAUAGGGCCAGUUGGGGGCAUUAGUAUUCAGUAGUCAGAGGUGAAAUUCUUGGAUUUACUGAAGACUAACUAAUGCGAAAGCAUUUGCCAAGGAUGUUUUCAUUAAUCAAGAACGAGAGUUAGGGGAUCGAAGACGAUCAGAUACCGUCGUAGUCUUAACUAUAAACGAUGCCGACUAAGGAUCGGCAGAAGUCGUUAGCGACUCUGUCGGCACUUUGUGAGAAAUCAAAGUUUUUGGGUUCUGGGGGGAGUAUGGUCGCAAGGCUGAAACUUAAAGGAAUUGACGGAAGGGCACCACCAGGAGUGGAGCCGCGGCUUAAUUUGACUCAACACGGGAAAACUCACCAGGUCCGGACAUAGUAAGGAUUGACAGAUUGAGAGCUCUUUCUUGAUUCUGUGGGUGGUGGUGCAUGGCCGUUCUUAGUUGGUGGAGCGAUUUGUCUGGUUAAUUCCGAUAACGAACGAGACCUUAACCUGCUAACUAGUUGCAGGUACUUUUGUAUCUGACACUUCUUAGAGGGACUGACUA